rnacentral:rRNA from 1 species
UACGAAGGGGGCUAGCGUUGCUCGGAAUGACUGGGCGUAAAGGGCGCGUAGGCGGAUGGCACAGUCAGAUGUGAAAUUCCCGGGCUUAACCUGGGGGCUGCAUUUGAUACGUGUUGUCUAGAGUGAGGAAGAGGGUUGUGGAAUUCCCAGUGUAGAGGUGAAAUUCGUAGAUAUUGGGAAGAACACCGGUGGCGAAGGCGGCAACCUGGUCCUUGACUGACGCUGAGGCGCGAAGGCGUGGGGAGCAAACAGG